AUAAAACAAUGAAAUGACCUGUUUCUGUGUUGCAGUCCUCUGGAAACAUAGUGCAAGCAAUGUCCAUAAAUAACCAUUUAACAUAAAUAAAUAAAGUGUCCAUAAAUAACUAUUUAACUUUCGGAUAGAAGCUGUGUGGAUGAGUAGUGCAGCGCCUGGACCUGUCUCCAGUCUCCUAGUAACAGAUUUAACCACUUAUACCAGGCACCUCUUUGGGAUAUAGAAGGCCUUCCCUCUGGUCCCUACCUGUGUAUCUCCAUGACUAGUUCCAACCAUCCCCUGACCCUGCCACUUUUAUUUUGUGUUCCAGUAAUUCUGCCAUCCUUUCAGGCCUUUGUACACAAGCACAAAGGCAUGGAGUGCCCAGAGCACUGAUGCCUACGGCCAAGUUCAAAUUUCCCCUGUGAAGCCUUCCCUUCACGUGCUCCUUUGCCUCUGCUACCCCUGGACUACCCUCCAUUAUAAGCCUCUCCUUUCUGUAUAAAUACAGUGUCCUGGUUUACAUUACAAGCAUA